GACGAACGCUGGCGGCGUGCUUAACACAUGCAAGUCGAACGGAAAGGCCCUGCUCUUGUGGGGUGCUCGAGUGGCGAACGGGUGAGUAACACGUGAGUAACCUGCCCUUGACUUUGGGAUAACUUCAGGAAACUGGGGCUAAUACCGGAUAGGAGCUCCUGCUGCAUGGUGGGGGAUGGAAAGUUUCGGCGGUUGGGGAUGGACUCGCAGCUUAUCAGCUUGUUGGUGGGGUAGUGGCUUACCAAGGCUUUGACGGGUAGCCGGCCUGAGAGGGUGAACGGCCACAUUGGGACUGAGAUACGGCCCAGACGCCUACGGGCGGCAGCAGUGGGGAAUAUUGCACAAUGGGCGGAAGCCUGAUGCAGCAACGCCGCGUGCGGGAUGACGGCCUUCGGGUUGUAAACCGCUUUCGCCUGUGACGAAGCGUGAGUGACGGUAAUGGGUAAAGAAGCACCGGCUAACUACGUG
rnacentral:rRNA from 1 species